rnacentral:rRNA from 1 species
UACAGAGGGGGCAAGCGUUAUUCGGAAUUAUUGGGCGUAAAGGGCGCGUAGGCGGCUUGGCAAGUGGAAGGUGAAAUCCCUCGGCUUAACCGAGGAACUGCCCUCCAAACUGCUUUGCUUGAGGCCGGGAGAGGUGAGUGGAAUUCCUAGUGUAGAGGUGAAAUUCGUAGAUAUUAGGAAGAACACCAGUGGCGAAGGCGGCUCACUGGUCCGGUACUGACGCUGAGGUGCGAAAGCGUGGGGAGCAAACAGG